rnacentral:rRNA from 1 species
UACGAAGGGGGCUAGCGUUGCUCGGAAUCACUGGGCGUAAAGCGCACGUAGGCGGAUUCUUAAGUCGGUGGUGAAAUCCUGGAGCUCAACUCCAGAACUGCCUUCGAUACUGAGAGUCUUGAGUUCGGGAGAGGUGAGUGGAACUGCGAGUGUAGAGGUGAAAUUCGUAGAUAUUCGCAAGAACACCAGUGGCGAAGGCGGCUCACUGGCCCGAUACUGACGCUGAGGUGCGAAAAGCGUGGGGAGCAACAGG